UACAGAGGGUGCGAGCGUUAAUCGGAAUUACUGGGCGUAAAGCGCACGUAGGUGGCGACGUAAGUCGGGUGUGAAAGCCCCGGGCUCAACCUGGGAAUUGCAUUCGAGACUGCAUUGCUGGAGUACGGAAGAGGAGGGCGGAAUUCCCGGUGUAGCGGUGAAAUGCGUAGAGAUCGGGAGGAACAUCCGUGGCGAAGGCGACUACCUGGACCAGCACUGACACUGAGGCACGAAAGCGUGGGGAGCAAACAGG
rnacentral:rRNA from 1 species